GACGAACGCUGGCGGCGUGCUUAACACAUGCCAGUCGAACGGAAAGGCCCUGCUUUUGUGGGGUGCUCGAGUGGCGAACGGGUGAGUAACACGUGAGUAACCUGCCCUUGACUUUGGGAUAACUUCAGGAAACUGGGGCUAAUACCGGAUAGGAGCUCCUGCUGCAUGGUGGGGGUUGGAAAGUUUCGGCGGUUGGGGAUGGACUCGCGGCUUAUCAGCUUGUUGGUGGGGUAGUGGCUUACCAAGGCUUUGACGGGUAGCCGGCCUGAGAGGGUGGCCGGCACAUUGGGACUGAGAUACGGCCCAGACUCCUACGGGAGGCAGCAGUGGGGAAUAUUGCACAAUGGGCGGAAGCCUGAUGCAGCAACGCCGCGUGCGGGAUGACGGCCUUCGGGUUGUAAACCGCUUUCGCCUGUGACGAAGCGUGAGUGACGGUAAUGGGUAAAGAAGCACCGGCUAACUACGUG
rnacentral:rRNA from 1 species